GUCCUCUUUGUAUUCUUCCACAGCUUUCUUGAACUGCAUUCAAUUGCAUGCAUGCCAUGACACUCUUAUUUUGCGGUUCAAUAAAGCUGUGGGAAGAUAUAGAUAGGG
rnacentral:pre_miRNA from 1 species